GUUUUUUGUUGUUUUU
rnacentral:sRNA from 1 species